rnacentral:rRNA from 1 species
UGCGUAGGUGGUUGUUUAAGUCUGUUGUGAAAGCCCUGGGCUCAACCUGGGAACUGCAGUGGAAACUGGACGACUAGAGUGUGGUAGAGGGUAGCGGAAUUCCUGGUGUAGCAGUGAAACGCGUAGAGAUCAGGAGGAACAUCCAUGGCGAAGGCAGCUACCUGGACCAACACUGACACUGAGGCACGAAAGCGUGGGGAGCAAACA